GUCCGUAAACACUCCAGCCAGCUGGUCUGCGCAUGCUCUGAGGAUGUGGCUAAGGAUGCCGUCUGGGCCGGCAGCCUAGCGAGCGUUAACACGCUUAAAUGUUUUAGGUUGGCCACAGAGAAUGUGAGCCCACAGUUCUCGGGAGUGGCCUGCGUCGGUGGCAUUGUUAUCUUCAAAAGGGGACAAGGUGUUUAGCUUGUCCGAUGGCAAGACGUUGGUGUCCUUAAUUAAUGUGACGGCUUUUCCCUUUGUAAUGAUUGUCUGGAGUCCUUGCCACAUAUGGCUCAUGUCUGAGCCAUUGAAACGCGACUCCAAUCCCCAUUAGAAGCAAUCCUUCAUAGGAAUCAAUGGUAUUCUACAGUAUUUCAGUUAUUUGUAUUUGUUGUAGUGGGGACAGUAACAUUAGUAAUUUCCCAAAAUGGUACAUAAAAACAAUUUAUUGUAUGUGUUUUUUAAAUUGUAUUAUUUUGUUUAGCUCACAUAAUAUAAUUGUAAAGUAUUUAUUAAGGUGACUGUAAUAGAAUAAAUCUAACUAAUGAGAGAGAGAGAGCGAGGUGGGACAUAGAUGAGGUUUUCAUAGACCAGUAUACUCUGCACUGGUUGGUUGGUGACAGCUCACAUGGGUCAUGUUGUCUGGCGCAACCACCUGUCAAUCACAACGUACCAGGUUACCACUUGCGCGAUGUCCACCUGUUAGUUGUCAUGGCGGAAAAAUCAGUGAUGAGGCCUUCUAGCUACCCGUUUCCGCAUGAUUGAAGAAGGCAAUGAGCUCCAUCGGGUCUUUUUAAAAAUGGCGGGUGGGGAAGCGAAACCUAUGGUGAUAGGGGGAGACAAGCCGUGUGGAUAAACUACUUUUUUCACCCGACCUGUCCAACCUAUCAUCUCUAAAAUGCUGCAAUCCACUCCCAGUUAGAUGGGGUCUGUUCAGGCCUCUGUCAGCCCCACAAUGCCCUGGGGGACAUGAAGGACAUCCAGAACUCUCUUGACAGAAGUCAGCAAUGACUGGAGGCAAGGCAUCAACACCAUUGAACGUGCAGUAUGUAAAAUAUGCUGGGAUGCAACACAGUCAGCUAACCUCAGCCAUGGAGAACUUGGAAGAAUAUAUUUUCAGGUAUGUUCUGCUGCACCCAUUACAUGCCACUUGGUUGGGAACUAUUAUUGUUGGCUUGCAUUGCAUUUGAUGUGAGACUGUAUUGCUACAUUGUAUUAGUGUAUUGUCCUUCAACUGGGUCCUCAAUUAAUACUUACAAAAGUAUGUCUGUACUGCUCUCGGUUACUCAUGUAUAGGGCCCUGUGUUUUGGUUAACAGUUUCGCUAAGCAGCUACCCUCAAACAACUUGUUUGAAGGUGAAAUCACAGUAGGAGAAAAUCUAAGCUUUUAGUUACAGCAGCACACUGACAUUAUAAAAGGCAAGGGGUUGAAUGGGCCAACAUGAAGGGUGACUACCUCAUGAAGCUGGUUGAGAGAAUGCCAAGAGUGUGCAAAGCUGUCAAGGCAAAGGGUGACUACUUUGAAGAA